UUUUUUUUAAUCGCUUUACUGACAAUAGCAGUCAACCUACUUGUGAAAACUAACCUGCCGUAUAUAUAUUUCCUCUUCUAUUCAUUAUUACAAUUUGCAAGAUCUGCAGAUGUAGGUGAGCAAAAAGCUAAGGUUUGGUAAGACAUUAAGCUAUGCAAAGCUGAAGACAAUUGAUUUGGAAAUUCUAGUGAAUCUUGCUGGUGACAAGGAAAGAUAUUUAAACUCUCACAUGGUGCUAAAAUCUUGGGAUCUUAGAGGACUUCGGAUUGAGUAAGAUUGAUGGUGUUGGAAUUUUAUCCUUCAUAUCUAGAUGGGUUAUUCCUGACAUCGUUUGAGAGAUCUCUUGCAAGCUUGUCUCAAUUCAUGAUUUGGUGAAUGUAUUCUACAAUUUCUUUAAAUAAAGAUACAGAUUGAGAGAGCUUUAUCCUCUAAAAUUCGAAUCUCAAACUAGUUUCUUCUACAAUAUUUGUUUCAAAAAAAAAAAAGAAGAGAAAAAGUGGAUUGAAAAUGAGUGCCCUGCAA